rnacentral:rRNA from 1 species
AUUGAACGCUGGCGGCAUGCCUUACACAUGCAAGUCGAACGGUAACAGGUCUUCGGAUGCUGACGAGUGGCGAACGGGUGAGUAAUACAUCGGAACGUGCCCCGACGCGGGGGAUAACGAGGCGAAAGCUUUGCUAAUAACGCAUACGAUCUAAGGAUGAAAGCAGGGGACCGCAAGGCCUUGCGCGUUUGGAGCGGUCUAUGGCAGAUUAGGUAGUUGGUGGGAUAAAAGCUUACCAAGCCGACGAUCUGUAGCUGGUCUGAGAGGACGACCAGCCACACUGGGACUGAGACACGGCCCAGACUCCUACGGGAGGCAGCAGUGGGGAAUUUUGGACAAUAGGCGAAAGCCUGAUCCAGCAAUGCCGCGUGCAGGAUGAAGGCCUUCGGAUUGUAAACUGCUUUUGUACGGGACGAAAAGGCUCUGGCUAAUACCUGCGGCACAUGACGGUACCGUAAGAAUAAGCACCGGCUAACUACGUG